GAUGAACGCUGACAGAAUGCUUAACACAUGCAAGUCUACUUGAAUUUGGGUUUUUAACUUAGGUUUGGGUGGCGGACGGGUGAGUAACGCGUAAAGAACUUGCCUCACAGCUAGGGACAACAUUUAGAAAUGAAUGCUAAUACCUAAUAUUAUGAUAAUAGGGCAUCCUAUAAUUAUGAAAGCUAUAAGCGCUGUGAGAGAGCUUUGCGUCCCAUUAGCUAGUUGGAGAGGUAACGGCUCACCAAGGCGAUGAUGGGUAGCCGGCCUGAGAGGGUGAUCGGCCACAAGGGGACUGAGACACGGCCCUUACUCCUACGGGAGGCAGCAGUGGGGAAUAUUGGACAAUGGACCGAGAGUCUGAUCCAGCAAUUCUGUGUGCACGAUGAAGUUUUUCGGAAUGUAAAGUGCUUUCAGUUGGGAAGAAAGAAAUGACGGUACCAACAGAAGAAGUGACGGCUAAAUACGUGCCAGCAGCCGCGGUAAUACGUAUGUCACGAGCGUUAUCCGGAUUUAUUGGGCGUAAAGCGCGUCUAGGUGGUUAUAUAAGUCUGAUGUGAAAAUGCAGGGCUCAACUCUGUAUUGCGUUGGAAACUGUAUAACUAGAGUACUGGAGUGGUAAGCGGAACUACAAGUGUAGAGGUGAAAUUCGUAGAUAUUUGUAGGAAUGCCGAUGGGGAAGCCAGCUUACUGGACAGAUACUGACGCUGAAGCGCGAAAGCGUGGGUAGCAAACAGG
rnacentral:rRNA from 1 species